AACUUACCAAAAUUAGGAAACUUGGGAGAGCCACAAAGUAUGUGGGAACACCUGGAGGUACUUACCUUGAUAAGGUGCAAUGAAAUAAGGAAGUUGCCUCUGUCUAUUCAAACCUCCAAGAGCAUCAAAUUAAUAAGAGGAACAUCAGAAUGGUGGAGCCAAUUAGAGUGGGAUGACGACAAGUUCAAGUCGAACUUAGAGCAUUGCUUCCGACCACUUGCCAUAUGACAGAUUGAUCAAAGUUGAGGUUACUUCUACUACAUUUCAGGAUACUAGAGAAGUAGAGGAAGGAAAUUACCUCACCAGAGAGACACAGAGUUUCGAGCUAAAGUUAAUUGGUCGGGUUUGCUAUGUUGUAUUUCCUGUCAGAUGUCUUAAGUUUUUUCUGCCAACAACUGUUCCAUGUUUGCACUGUUUUUGCUUUCAGGUUCAGAUAUUUUGAUUGCUUGAAUGUACACUGAGUAAUUUCUUGUUU